rnacentral:rRNA from 1 species
CAUGGUUGUCGUCAGCUCGUGUCGUGAGAUGUUGGGUUAAGUCCCGCAACGAGCGCAACCCUUAAGCUUAGUUGCCAGCAUUAAGUUGGGCACUCUAAGUUGACUGCCGGUGACAAACCGGAGGAAGGUGGGGAUGACGUCAAAUCAUCAUGCCCCUUAUGAUUUGGGCUACACACGUGCUACAAUGGACAAUACAAAGGGCAGCUAAACCGCGAGGUCAUGCAAAUCCCAUAAAGUUGUUCUCAGUUCGGAUUGUAGUCUGCAACUCGACUACAUGAAGCUGGAAUCGCUAGUAAUCGUAGAUCAGCAUGCUACGGUGAAUACGUUCCCGGGUCUUGUACACACCGCCCGUCACACCACGAGAGUCUGUAACACCCGAAGCCGGUGGAGUAACCAUUUAUGGAGCUAGCCGUCGAAGGUGGGACAAAUGAUUGGGGUGAAGUCGUAACAAGGUAGCCGUAUCGGAAGGUGCGGCUGGAUCACCUC